AUCGCAAACCUUUUGGGAAAAAAAUGUUAUGUUAUAAUCUUAGAAAUCAUGUACAGUAGAGUCACUUAUCCAACAUUCUGGAUUAGCCAACGCAUUUUUGUAGUCAAUGUUUUCAAUACAUCGUGAUAUUUUGGUGCUAAAUUCGUAAAUACAGUAAUUACUACAUAGCAUUACUGCUUAUUGAACUACUUUUUCUGUCAAAUUUGUUGUUAAACAUGAUGUUUUGGUGCUUAAUUUGUAAAAUCAUAACCUAAUUUGAUGUGUAAUAGGCUUUUCCUUAAUCCCUCCUUAUUUUCCAACAUAUUCGCUUAUCCAACGUUCUGCCGGCCCGUUUAUGUUGGAUAAGUGAGACUCUAAUGUAUUUGUAAACAUAUACAUGAAAGCUGCCUUGUUGUGAGUUUCCCAGGCUGUAUGGCCAUGUUCCAGAAGCAUUCUCUCCUGACGCUUCGCCCACAUCUCUGGCAGGCUUCCUCAGAGGUUGUGAGGUAUAUUGGAAGAAACGAAGCAAGAAGGUUUAUAUAUCUGUGAAAGGUCCAGGGUGAGAGAAAGAACUCUUGUCUGUUGGAGGCCUGUGUGAAUGUUUUAAUUAAACACUUUGAUUAGCAUUAAUGGCCUUGCUGAAGUCGAACAUGACCCCCCCCCCCAGUAAAAGAUUGUAACUUAUAGUUUUGCUAAGGACAAAGACAUCAAGCUGGAUAAUAAUCAAUUGAUCAAUUUGCAAAGGCAACAACAACAAGGACCCUUCCCAUAUUAGGUAGUGUGUACAUUUAAUCAAGGCUUUAUGUCCUACAUUUCAUAUAUUUAUAGCAGAAGGUACAAAAUUUAUUACUGGAAACUGGUAUUUGACCUUUACCAAGCCCAGCCCUCCCCCCCCCCCCUCCCUCUUUUGCUAGCCUUUGGCCUAGAGGCCUAGAAAUGUAGAUUUCUCUUUUGUUUAAGAGCUAUUGACUGGAGUAAGAAACAAUUAACUGAGUCGUUAGUUCUCAGGCAGAAGGCCCUUUGUCAAAAGCUGGGAGGAGGAGGGUUUGCAUUUCUGGGCUUUUGGUCUGAGACUAGCAAGAGAAACAAAAAAGCCCCGUGAACAAUAUAUCUUAUAAUCUUGCCCUCAUUUCUCAAAACUGAAAUGUAUCUUUCUGUCUCUCUGUAUCACCUUGACACACAUUUUUCUGUUCUUUUAGACUAGACUCUCCUGCCCAUUUUGCUCCCUUUCCCUUGCCAUUCAUUUCCCCUUUUAUGAAUUUUUAUGUAUCAGGGACCCCCUUCCGCUUCCUCCCCACAUGUACCCCUCUCCCCUUGCAUUGUUCCAAGCCCCAGGGUACCCCAACCUGCCCCCUUCGCCUGCCUGGCCAGGAAAGGAAAAUCCUGGGAUUCCCUUCUAAGAAAAGCCCCAUGAAUACGCGUCCAGAGAUAGGAGCCUGGAUAAACGGUCAUAAGGGAACCUGUGUUCGUUUCCCCAGUCCCAUGGGAUGUUGGGUCAUUUUGGAUUCUCCCCGGAAUAUUGGGUUCCUUGUAUGUCACUAUAAUUUUAUUAUUAUUAUUUAUCAUUAUUUCUUAUUGCCUAUAUUAUUCUUAUUGCUGCAAUGUCUUUCCCCACAUAAUUGGAACAUGAUAACCUCAACCUGAACUCUGGCCAGCACACCAUCCUGCCCAAGCAACAUCAGGAUGCCUCAGGGCUAUGUAUGACAAACAUGGGUUAUCAGAAAUCACCGUCUGCAAAGAAACAAUGGAUUUUUUUUCCUUCCUGGACUUCGGAGGGCAAGAUGCCAGACUAUCUAGGAAGAAAGGAACCUUUUGGACAUUUAAAUCACUCAUCAUAAAAGACUCAUCUUCCUGGAAGGCAGAGGCAAGGCUUGACAAAAGCCACCUUUUCCUUGGACUUUGAGUCACAGAUAUUCCCAUCACCGAUCCUACGGACAAACCAGCAGGGGCCAGACUCCUAUUCAUGAAUCUGGACAAAUCAAUCAAUUAAACUAAGCCAGGUCCGGUUGGAACGCCACAGGCAGUCACUGGGCUAUUUAGACAAAAUAUCAUCACUGAGUCACCUAUAAUCUUGUCAUUUCCACAUGUGUACCCUUUGUUUCUCCUGUUGCCGCACCUCCAUCUCCCCCAUUGGCCAGCAAGAGAGUGAGGUCACAGAUGGGGCUCACACUCUCAUUGGAAGAGGCCCUUAGUGGCUCCCCCUCUAUUCUGCCUUGGUCAGACCACACCUGGAAUACUGCGUCCAAUUCUGGGCACCGCAGUUGAAGGGAGAUGUUGACAAGCUGGAAAGCGUCCAGAGGAGGGCAACUAAAAUGAUCAAAGGUCUGGAGAACAAGCCCUAUGAGGAGAGGCUUAAAGAACUGGCAGGGAGGAAAAAGCGCCCUGAAAAACAUGCCGGCGAUCCAGUCAGAAAGGCGUCUAUGAACAACAAAGCUCCUUGGCGUGGAAGAAUGGAACAACAGCACUUCCUUAUGGCCAAGUCUUUUGUCUUUUAGCGGGGAGGAAAAAGCGCCCUGGAAAACAUGCCGGCGAUCCAGUCAGAAAGGUGUCUAUGAACAACAAAGCUCCUUGGCGUGGAAGAAUGGAACAACAGCACUUCCUUAUGGCCAAGUCGAGCACAGCAUCCAGAUUGCAGAUACAGAUAAAAGAGGGAAAGCCUGCCUCUGUUUAUAUACAGUUCUGUCUUUGUCUAUUGCAUAAAGGCAUUAAAUGUUUGCCACAUAUGUAUUUGUAAUCUACUCUGAGUCCCCUCGGCGAGAUAGAGCGAAAUAUAAAUAAAGUACUAUAUUAUUAUUA